AAAAACUUUCAACAACGGAUCUCUUGGUUCUGGCAUCGAUGAAGAACGCAGCGAAAUGCGAUAAGUAAUGUGAAUUGCAGAAUUCAGUGAAUCAUCGAAUCUUUGAACGCACAUUGCGCCCGCUAGUAUUCUGGCGGGCAUGCCUGUCCGAGCGUCAUU
rnacentral:rRNA from 1 species